UCUGGGGAAGGUUGCCCUGUUCACGACUGCUGUGAGCGGUGUACCUCGUCUGGCCGCCCCGCGGUCCCAAUGAAAGGAAAGCCAUGUUCAGUGUGGCCUCAGGGAAAGGGAGCCUUAGGUUGGGCAGCUUGCCCAAGGUCACAAAGCUUAGGGAUGUGCUCCCGAGGCCUGGCCUCACCAGGCCUCAGUCCCUACUUGGCCCUCACAGGACAUGACGUGGCUGUGAGAUCUCAGGCAGGAUGUAGUCUAGUUCCGAGCCUUAGCUUCUCCUCCUGUAGGAUGGGCUCAAGGUUAUGGGAGAGAACACCGCAGAGAUCGGCGGGGCCAGAACCCCCCUGCGCAGCUGGAACGGGGCCGCCCAGGGCUGGGGAAGUGAAUGUCGUCCUGGCCCCAUUUAGAAGCAGCCCAAAUGCUGAUUCCGGAGCCUGAGACCCAGAAUCUCACAGUUGUUUACAAACACAAAGCAAAGUGUCAUCAUCGAGGCAGCUGAGCUCCUAGAGGGAGGUCACUCCUGGGUUCAAGGACUUGGCAAUGGGCUGUAGGCGAGAGAGACAGAGCGUGAGUGGGAGAGGGGCAGAGAGAGAAUCCGAAGCA